GCGACUUAAAUUGCAAAAGCUCAAGGGUACAUUUCUUCCACUGGACUCUGUUCGUGUAAAGAUAUUCCCAUUAUUAAAAUUGGUUGGACUCUAGAAAAGAACAGGAUCCAAGUGGCAGGUGAGAGUCUUGGGACCGACUGCCAAAACCUUUCCUCCCACUUUGCAACGUCUGCCUGAAGAGCUUACUGUGAGUAGCGGAGACACUUCUAUUUUUCACAUCUGUACCAAAGGCCCAACUGCAAGGUCGGAUAACAAUGAAAAUUGUAUUCUUCCAUAUUGUGUGUUGUGAGAGACUAAGUCACUGGAGAAGCUGUAGAUAUAGAAGUCUUUAUUCAUCAUGACUAACUUUGGAGGCGUUCUUGGUACAGUACUUCAAACUCAAAAGUACAUUACAUUUUUUAUACCCCUAAGAUCAAAGGUAACAAUAGGGGAUACAAUAACAUUUCAGUAGUUACAAUGAUCUCAUUUAUUUCAUUAGUUUAGGUUGAUAACGCUUCCUUUAAAUUAUACAUCUAGAGUGGGAAACAUACCUGAAUGCUCAAACACCUCUGCUGGCGCAAACUAAUUGACAUAGAAAUUCUAAAAUCGUCUGACGACAUAGAACCAGAUGCCCAAGAUUACUGUCCGUGUGAGUUGACUCUCUAAGUACACAAUAGAUCAGCUAUUGAUUGCAACUAUACUUGUGACCAUGUUUGAUUUGCUAACUGACAUGAUCAGCCUGGUCUCCUAGCUUGAAUUUAAGUCACAAUGCUGCAAGUAACUUAGCCAUGUUGCCUGGUUCGAUGCAAGCCAAUUAAGACAACCCCAUUGACUUAAUGUUUGGCUCACUCACAUGCAAACAUCUCAUGGUCAGCGUUUUGCAAACCAUAUCUGGGCCAGCUGGUGCUUUUAACUUCAACUUACUGCUUGCAAUUUAUAAUUUCCAUCAAGAACUGAAGACUGGCUCUCAUUUGAAUUAAUAUCUGCAAAACUCAGGUAAUUCAAGAAUACUCCCUAACAUUGUGCCUUUCUGCUUGUUUCCCAGGACAGAAAAAUUCCGGGAUCCAUCCAGACCUUUCCUUAACCACAUUGCCUCUUUCUAUUAUAUAACUCUUGUUGCAUUUAAGUAGUAUGGACUAUUUUGUGGUGCUCUGGGCUCAUAAAGAGUCACAGGCCUACUAUAAUAACUAUAAAUGUUGGGUUCGGAUUUCCCCCAUGGAUAUCAACUGCUCUAAUAUGGAUUGUGCAGAUUUCUCCCUGGUUACAGCAAGACCAGGGAACUCUACAAAUGCAGCACAUGGAAUGCAGAACUAAAGACUGUUACACGUUUGAUUUUCACAACUUCCUUUUCAAAACAAGGAGGCAGUAGAGUUUGUUAUUGAUGACGAUACAUUAUCCAAGUACAUACAAGAACAGAAGUAUAUUUGUAAUCCACCAAGUAAUUGGCUUACCAUGGGAAAAUGCUCUUCAAUAUGUCUUAUACUCCUGUGUCUACUUAUCCUGGUGUAAGACAAGUACAAUACCAAUUCAUAGACUAUUGACUCACCACUAAAUCCAAAAGCAGCUCCAAUAUGUGAAGCUCAGCCUAAUUUAUUUAAAUAUGGUUGUUGACCUCCACUUAUUUAAUUCAUGGUGUCUUCAUGUCAUGAAUUUAUUAACAAUAGUUCAAUGUUUUUAAUGGUGAUAAUGCUUAUCGCUCAAAUCGAUCCGCUGAUGAUGUAAUAGCCUCUUCCCUUCACUCUGUCCUGUCCCACCGGAAAAUGGGGUCUGAUAUGCCAGACUGCUGUUUAUAGACUUCAGUUCGGUGUUCUACGCCAUCUUACUGCAGAAGCCAGAGGGGAACCUGUCCUCGCUGGGUCUCAACACCUCCCUCUGCAAUUAUAUACUGGAUUUCUUAACAGAAAGGACACAGUCAGUCCAUCUGGGCAGCAACAUUGCUUGUCCCAUUACACUGAGUACUGGUGCUCCCCAAGGCUAUAUGCUGUUGACAUUUCUGAUACAUGAGCGUACUGCAGAAUAGCUCAAACCAUGCCAUCAAGUUUGCAGAUGACACAGCUGUAACUGGCCUUAUCAAGAAUGAUGAUGAGGCGGUGUAUAGAGAGCAAGUGGAGUGGCUGAUAGAUUGGUGUGAGAAGAACAACCCAAGCCUGAAUGUGGAGAAGACAAAGGAAAUCAUUGUGGACUUCAGGAAAGUGCAGACAGACCAUCUCUCUCUGCAAAUACAUGGGUCCUCCAUAGAGAGAGAUUUGUGCACCAAGUUCCUGGGAGUUCACAUCACGAUGACUUCACCUAGUCCCUUAACAUCACUUUCCUGAACAAGAAGGCACAGUGGCACCUCCACUUCCUAAAGAGAUUGAGGCACCCCCCAUCUUAACAGGAGUGGUAUUGAGGGUGUCCUAACAAGUUGGAACUCCAUCUAGUAUGGGAGCAGUCGAGCAUCAGACCAGAAGUCCCUACAAAGGACUGUAAGAACAGCCAAGAGGAUCACUGGGGUCUUCCUACCAGCCACCAGGGACAUUUAUCAGGAGUGCUGCAUUUGCAGAAACCUUAGUAUUAUUGAGGAUCCCACCCAUCCAUCAUCCUGUUUGAUUUUCAACCAGCAAGCAGGAGACUACAAUGCAUACAAACAAGAAUGGUCAGGGUGAGAAACACUUUCUUCCCCCAGUCUAUUAGGCUUCUGAACUCCCAGUUGCAUCAUAUUCAAAGUGUCACUGGUUAAUCUGUUCCCUAACUUACAAUAUUUAAUAUUAAUGCUUUUUAGUUUAAAUAUAGAUUUUAUCUUUACCUUCAUAAGUUAUCAUGCGUUAUGUGUACUACUGUGCUUUGCAGCCUGGU